rnacentral:misc_RNA from 1 species
UUGAAUCCAAAGGAUGUUGCUGGUGCUUGCAAAAGUACAUGUGCACUCCACACUUCAAAUCCACCUGUGCACUCAGUGUAGGCUCAGAUUAACUUCUGAAGUCUAUGUUUUCAUACACACUAUAAAAGAUUAUGGAAUGUCUGGGUUUAUGCCCUAAAAAUAUCAAUA